ACACAUGCAAGUCGAACGGAAAGGCCCUGCUUUUGUGGGGUGCUCGAGUGGCGAACGGGUGAGUAACACGUGAGUAACCUGCCCUUGACUUUGGGAUAACCUCAGGAAACUGGGGCUAAUACCGGAUAGGAGCUCCUGCUGCAUGGUGGGGGUUGGAAAGUUUCGGCGGUUGGGGAUGGACUCGCGGCUUAUCAGCUUGUUGGUGGGGUAGUGGCUUACCAAGGCUUUGACGGGUAGCCGGCCUGAGAGGGUGACCGGCCACAUUGGGACUGAGAUACGGCCCAGACUCCUACGGGAGGCAGCAGUGGGGAAUAUUGCACAAUGGGCGGAAGCCUGAUGCAGCAACGCCGCGUGCGGGAUGACGGCCUUCGGGUUGUAAACCGCUUUCGCCUGUGACGAAGCGUGAGUGACGGUAAUGGGUAAAGAAGCACCGGCUAACUACGUGCCAGCAGCCGCGGUGAUACGUAGGGUGCGAGCGUUGUCCGGAUUUAUUGGGCGUAAAGGGCUCGUAGGUGGUUGAUCGCGUCGGAAGUGUAAUCUUGGGGCUUAACCCUGAGCGUGCUUUCGAUACGGGUUGACUUGAGGAAGGUAGGGGAGAAUGGAAUUCCUGGUGGAGCGGUGGAAUGCGCAGAUAUCAGGAGGAACACCAGUGGCGAAGGCGGUUCUCUGGGCCUUUCCUGACGCUGAGGAGCGAAAGCGUGGGGAGCGAACAGGCUUAGAUACCCUGGUAGUCCACGCUGUAAACGGUGGGUACUAGGUGUGGGGUCCAUUCCACGGGUUCCGUGCCGUAGCUAACGCUUUAAGUACCCCGCCAGGGGAGUACGGCCGCAAGGCUAAAACU
rnacentral:rRNA from 1 species